AAUGUGCAGAAUGGUAUAGAAUUCCUGACCACACCUCACUCAUUCUUUAAAAGAAAGCUACAAUGGCUUAAUAGAGAAGUGCUCUUCCUCUAAAUUACUCAAGUCCUCUUUUGGCUCUUGUUUCAACACAGAUGUUCCUUCCUCUAUGUGUCCUUUGUCCAUUAUAACACAGUGCAUACAUACUUUAAUUUUUCAAUUUCCCUCCUUUCCCCCCCUAAAUUAGAUGGUGAGGUCUUUGAAAACCAUUGUUUAUUACACAACUUUAAAUGAUGCCUUCCUAUUGGUGGGACCUACUCAGUUGAAAUGGGCUAUAAUCCACUCCAAUGAAAACGCUUUGCUGCUGACGGUCUUAUGAGAAGGUGCGGCAGGCUGCUUCUGCGAAGACUACAGACUUGGAAACCCUCUGGGCAGCAGUUCGACUCUUCCCUCCAGGGUCCCCAGGAGUCACCCACUCCUCAGCAGUGGGUCGGUCUGGUUCUUAUCACAACGUUUAGUAGGUUAGAGGCCGUGUAAGAAGCCUGAUGCCGCAGCGGGUUCAGCGCUGGACGACUAACCGGACCCCUUCGGAUGAAGAAACUCCGUUAGGACUGAUGCCUUGGCGAGUGAAUAAAGAACAAUUGUUGUGCCUUGGAUGCCUGCUUGCGGGCACUAUUCAAGGAACUAGGAGGUGGACGGAGCACUAAACAUGUUUUUAGGCCAAUUAACUGGGAUGGCCUGUGAAACCAUGGCCCUAACUCUACAAACCAAGCAACCGAAUCUCAUGAGGUGUUGUAAUUUCAGUUAAGCAGCUGUAGCAGCUACUCUUUGUUGCUGUCAGCAUCAUCAUCAUCAUCAUCAUCAUCAAGAUGUCAUACAACUUUUGCCCAUUCAAGCUCUUAUUGACAGCAAUGAUAAUAAUAAACCGGUUGUGUA